UGAAUUAAAAGUGUGUCCCAUGCGUUAC
rnacentral:sRNA from 1 species